rnacentral:tRNA from 2 species
GCGGCCGUGGCGGAAUCGGUAGACGCACCAGGUUUAGGUCCUGGCGCCGAAGGGUGUGGGAGUUCGAGUCUCCCCGGCCGCACCA